UGUGUUUCCUGUCUCUCUGUACCAGUGUAUUUAUCCCUGUCUUUCCUGUCUCUCUGUAACAGUGUAUUUAUCCCUGUGUUUCCUGUCUCUCUGUGCCAGUGUAUUUAUCCCUGUGUUUCCUGUCUCUCUGUGCCAGUGUAUUUAUCCCUGUGUUUCCUGUCUCUCUGUACCAGUGUAUUUAUCCCUGUGUUUCCUGUCUCUCUGUACCAGUGUAUUUAUCCCUGUCUUUCCUGUCUCUCUGUAACAGUGUAUUUAUCCCUGUGUUUCCUGUCUCUCUGUGCCAGUGUAUUUAUCCCUGUGUUUCCUGUCUCUCUGUACCAGUGUAUUUAUCCCUGUGUUUCCUGUCUCUCUGUGCCAGUGUAUUUAUCCCUGUGUUUCCUGUCUCUCUGUACCAGUGUAUUUAUCCCUGUGUUUCCUGUCUCUCUGUAACAGUGUAUUUAUCCCUGUGUUUCCUGUCUCUCUAUACCAGUGUAUUUAUCCCUGUGUUUCCUGUCUCUCUGUACCAGUGUAUUUAUCCCUGUGUUUCCUGUCUCUCUGUGCCAGUGUAUUUAUCCCUGUGUUUCCUGUCUCUCUGUACCAGUGUAUUUAUCCCUGUGUUUCCUGUCUCUCUGUGCCAGUGUAUUUAUGCCUGUGUUUCCUGUCUCUCUGUACCAGUGUAUUUAUCCCUGUGUUUCCUGUCUCUCUGUACCAGUGUAUUUAUCCCUGUGUUUCCUGUCUCUCUGUGCCAGUGUAUUUAUCCCUGUUUCCUGUCUCUCUAUACCAGUGUAUUUAUCCCUGUGUUUCCUGUCUCUUUGUACCAGUGUAUUUAUCCCUGUGUUUCCUGUCUCUCUGUACCAGUGUAUUUAUCCCUGUGUUUCCUGUCUCUCUGUACCAGUGUAUUUAUCCCUGUGUUUCCUGUCUCUCUGUAACAAUGUAUUUAUCCCUGUGUUUCCUGUCUCUCUGUAACAGUGUAUUUAUCCCUGUGUUUCCUGUCUCUCUGUGCCAGUGUAUUUAUCCCUGUGUUUCCUGUCUUUCUGUACCAGUGUAUUUAUCCCUGUGUUUCCUGUCUCUCUGUACCGGUGUAUUUAUCCCUGUGUUUCCUGUCUUUCUGUACCAGUGUAUUUAUCCCUGUGUUUCCUGUCUCUCUGUACCAGUGUAUUUAUCCCUGUGUUUCCUGUCUCUCUGUACCAGUGUAUUUAUCCCUGUGUUUCCUGUCUCUCUGUACCAGUGUAUUUAUCCCUGUGUUUCCUGUCUCUCUGUGCCAGUGUAUUUAUCCCUGUGUUUCCUGUCUCUCUGUACCAGUGUAUUUAUCCCUGUGUUUCCUGUCUUUCUGUACCAGUGUAUUUAUCCCUGUGUUUCCUUUCUCUCUGUACCAGUGUAUUUAUCCCUGUGUUUCCUGUCUCUCUGUACCAGUGUAUUUAUCCCUGUGUUCCCUGUCUCUCUGUACCAGUGUAUUUAUCCCUGUGUUUCCUGUCUCUCUGUGCCAGUGUAUUUAUCCCUGUGUUUCCUGUCUCUCUGUAACAGUGUAUUUAUCCCUGUGUUUCCUGUCUCUCUGUGCCAGUGUAUUUAUCCCUGUGUUUCCUGUACCAGUGUAUUUAUCCCUGUGUUUCCUGUCUCUCUGUGCCAGUGUAUUUAUCCCUGUUUCCUGUCUCUCUAUACCAGUGUAUUUAUCCCUAUGUUUCCUGUCUCUUUGUACCAGUGUAUUUAUCCCUGUGUUUCCUGUCUCUCUGUGCCAGUGUAUUUAUCCCUGUGUUUCCUGUCUCUCUGUACCAGUGUAUUUAUCCCUGUGUUUCCUGUCUCUCUGUGCCAGUGUAUUUAUCCCUGUGUUUCCUGUCUCUCUGUACCAGUGUAUUUAUCCCUGUGUUUCCUGUCUCUCUGUGCCAGUGUAUUUAUCCCUGUGUUUCCUGUCUCUCUGUACCAGUGUAUUUAUCCCUGUGUUUCCUGUCUCUCUGUACCAGUGUAUUUAUCCCUGUGUUUCCUGUCUCUCUGUAACAGUGUAUUUUUCCCUGUGUUUCCUGUCUCUCUGUGCCAUUGUAUUUAUCCCUGUGUUUCCUGUCUCUCUGUGCCAGUGUAUUUAUCCCUGUGUUUCCUGUCUCUCUGUACCAGUGUAUUUAUCCCUGUGUUUCCUGUCUCUCUGUGCCAGUGUAUUUAUCCCUGUGUUUCCUGUCUCUCUGUACCAGUGUAUUUAUCCCUGUGUUUCCUGUCGCUCUGUACCAGUGUAUUUAUCCCUGUCUUCCUGUCUCUCUGUAACAGUGUAUUUAUCCCUGUGUUUCCUGUCUCUCUGUGCCAGUGUAUUUAUCCCUGUGUUUCCUGUCUCUCUGUGCCAGUGUAUUUAUCCCUGUGUUUCCUGUCUCUCUGUACCAGUGUAUUUAUCCCUGUGUUUCCUGUCUCUCUGUGCCAGUGUAUUUAUCCCUGUGUUUCCUGUCUCUCUGUACCAGUGUAUUUAUCCCUGUGUUUCCUGUCUCUCUGUGCCAGUGUAUUUUUCCCUGUGUUUCCUGUCUCUCUGUGCCAGUGUAUUUAUCCCUGUGUUUCCUGUCUCUCUGUACCAGUGUAUUUAUCCCUGUGUUUCCUGUCUCUCUGUGCCAGUGUAUUUAUGCCUGUGUUUCCUGUCUCUCUGUGCCAGUGUAUUUAUCCCUGUUUCCUGUCUCUCUAUACCAGUGUAUUUAUCCCUGUGUUUCCUGUCUCUUUGUACCAGUGUAUUUAUCCCUGUGUCUCCUGUCUCUCUGUACCAGUGUAUUUAUCCCUGUGUUUCCUGUCUCUCUGUACCAGUGUAUUUAUCCCUGUGUUUCCUGUCUCUCUGUGCCAGUGUAUUUAUCCCUGUGUUUCCUGUCUCUCUGUGCCAGUGUAUUUAUCCCUGUGUUUCCUGUCUCUCUGUACCAGUGUAUUUAUCCCUGUGUUUCAUGUCUCUCUGUGCCAGUUCAUCUUGUAUGUUUCCAAGUCAAAGAGGGUUUUUCCUGUUCUCCUGCUUUUUGCUUUCUCUAGUCCUCCCAGUUUUGACCGUUGCCUGUUUCUGGACUCUGUACCCUCCUGCCUGCCUGACCAUUCUGACUGCCUGACCAUUCUGCCUGUCCUGACCACGAGCCUGUCUGCCACUCUGCCUGCCUGA
rnacentral:lncRNA from 1 species